AACUACUGCUACUUUCUUGGGAAUCUAAUGUUUUGAAAACAUAAAAGAAGUGUUCGAAUCACUUAGUAGUUU
rnacentral:tRNA from 1 species